rnacentral:pre_miRNA from 1 species
CUGAACGGCCGCGACAGCCGAGGAGAAGGGCGGGGCCCCGGGUCUGAUGACCGGGGCCCCGCCCUUCUCGUCGUACGGACACGGCUGCGUGC